rnacentral:rRNA from 1 species
CCUACGGGAGGCAGCAGUGGGGAAUUUUGCGCAAUGGGGGCAACCCUGACGCAGCACCGCCGCGUGAGUGAUGAAGGCUUUCGGGUCGUAAAGCUCUGUCAAGAGAGACGAAGUGUAGAGAGGCUAAUACCCUUUUUACUUGACGGUACCUCUGAAGGAAGCACCGGCUAACUCCGUGCCAGCAGCCGCGGUAAUACGGAGGGUGCAAGCGUUGUUCGGAUUUAUUGGGCGUAAAGCGCGUGUAGGCGGUUUGUUAAGUCUGAUGUGAAAGCCCCGGGCUCAACCUGGGAAGUGCAUUGGAAACUGGCAGACUUGAAUACGGGAGAGGGUAGUGGAAUUCCUGGUGUAGGAGUGAAAUCCGUAGAUAUCAGGAGGAACACCGGUGGCGAAGGCGGCUGCCUGGACCGAUAUUGACGCUGAGACGCGAAAGCGUGGGGAGCAAACAGGAUUAGAUACCCUGGUAGUCCACGCCGUAAACGAUGUGUACUAGGUGUUGCGGGUAUUGACCCCUGCAGUGCCGCAGCUAACGCAUUAAGUACUCCGCCUG